rnacentral:RNase_P_RNA from 1 species
GUGCCAGGUAACGCCUGGGAGGCGCGAGCCUACGGAAAGUGCAGCAGAAAGCAAACCGCCUAAGCGCGCAAGCGCCGGUAAGGGUGAAAAGGUGCGGUAAGAGCGCACCGCGCAGCUGGUAACAGUCUGUGGCGUGGUAAACCCCACUCGGAGCAAGACCAAAUAGGAAUCCGUUGGUGUGGCCCGCACUGGAUUCGGGUAGGUUGCUAGAGGUUGUCAGUGAUGGCGAUCCCAGAGGAAUGACUGUCCUCGACAGAACCCGGCUUACAGGCCAACUCUUAAU